rnacentral:tRNA from 2 species
GCCGCCUUAGCUCAGCUGGUUAGAGCGCUGGUUUGUGGUACCAGAGGUCGGUGGUUCGAACCCACCAGGCGGUACCA